GAGGCGGGUGAAGGGAGGUUGAGCUCAAUCAGGCCCCAUCCUGCUUCACAGCCUACUGAGGAGUCCAGACGCCCCGACCCCCGGCCAGGGACAGCCACGAGGAGUGGUGGCCCUCGGGUUUCGGCCGCCCAGCCCGUCUCUGGGGGCUGCGAAGGCUCUGGGCUCCGGGUUCCGGGCCGCGGGCUGCGGGCUCCGAGCGGCGCCAACAUGGCUGCCGCGAGGAGGAGGCCCCGGCCUGGCCGCACGUGUAUGAUGACAACUCGGUAAUGCUGCAUACUCCCGAGUGCGCGGUGGGGAAGCCAACCUUGGAGAGCUGAGCGUGCGACCGGCCCGGCGCGGGGGUCUCCGGGAGCUGGCGAGU
rnacentral:lncRNA from 10 species